rnacentral:rRNA from 1 species
UACGAAGGGGGCUAGCGUUGCUCGGAAUCACUGGGCGUAAAGCGCACGUAGGCGGAUUGCUAAGUCAGGGGUGAAAUGCCAGGGCUCAACCUUGGAACUGCCUUUGAUACUGGAGACCUUGAGUCCGGGAGAGGUGAGUGGAAUUGCGAGUGUAGAGGUGAAAUUCGUAGAUAUUCGCAAGAACACCAGUGGCGAAGGCGGCUCACUGGCCCGGAACUGACGCUGAGACGCGAAAGCGUGGGGAGCAAACAGG